rnacentral:tRNA from 1 species
GCCAGGAUGGCGGAAUUGGCAGACGCACACGCCUUAGGAGCGUGCGCCGCAAGGCAUAAGGGUUCGAGUCCCUUUCCUGGCACCA